rnacentral:piRNA from 1 species
CCCUUCACAGACUUAAUACAAAG